rnacentral:lncRNA from 1 species
AGUGUAGAUAAGAGAUGUGUCCCAGGGCUGACGCAAUACAAAUUUCAAGGCUGUGGAACCAGGAGAAGGUCUGAGGAACGGAGCUCCCGGAAGUAAAGGCAUUGCCUCACAUUUGAGUAAGCACAAUUACAACUCUUGGGGUAAAGAGCCUCAGCGACAAGGCCCAGGAAAGCAGGUGUAUUGAGAAUUAGAGGUAGUCACAGGGGAUGAAACAUAAAAUCAACGUGCCAGAGGUUGACCUGGGCUCUUCCACCCUCACUGUGAUCUUCAGUUUCGCUGCGUGCACUCAAGGCACAAACCUGGGAUUUGAGAUUUCAAGCUGUGUCUGUAAACUUAUUUUCAGAGACUCGGAGCGGGCCCCAGAGGAGAGGUAGGGAGUGGUCCUGGCAGCUGUUGGAUGAAGCAGGUUGGAAGGGCCUUGAGAGCAGAGGUCUGUUGUUUAACAUCAUCUUCGAGUGUACCCUAGCACGGCGGUCUCGGCUGGAGAGAUUUUCUGUGUGCUGAACUUAGAUGGAUAUGUCAAAGUGUACUCAAGCUUUCUUGAACUUUUUCCCCAUCUGAAAUCACUAAAAAUGUGCAGUAUUUCAAAAAGCCCAAGUUUGCCUCCAAAUAUGCUUGUGAAAUGUAUUUCAACACACAUAUCCAACAGUAAGAACAUGCUGGCCAUAUCAAUCCUCACAGCAACUCUUUAUUGCAGCAUAUUGAGGUUUAAUCAGGAAACAGGUUAGAGCUUCUAUGUACAGGUUUUCUUCUAGUUUGAGGUUUUCCUGAAAUAUGUGACACAGACUCGUUAUACAAAUGGCCACUAGUAAAUUAUUUCCAGCAUGUGUUACUCUGUCAACAGUGAUGCUUUCACAGAACCUUUGUCCUCCACAAUUCCCCCCCUCCAUUUAAACCAGGACAUUUCCAUCUCAGUGAGCCACUGCUGUAUUUGGGACCUAAGCGAGAAGCUGGAUAAACAGAGGCGCUAUUAUUAUUGUUACUGUCAAUAUAGUUUCCUUCCCUAGUUAUAACUGAUUAUUUCCUUUUUUCCAUUUCAAAACAUUUUUGUUCAAAUGCUUCUGAUGGCUCUCGUCACAAGCAAUAUUCCUUCGGAAAUAAUGCACCUUUUUAAUUUCUCAACCUAAAAUACACAGCCCGUCAUCUCCAUAGUAGGAUGAUGCUGUUAGAGAGAUCAGCUGUGUCUAGUUGGAGAAUUUUUAGGGGAAUAAGGGAUUACAGGAGCGAGUGCUUCCUCUAUUAGUUCGUGCAAAGUGAAGACAAGAAAGAAAGUCUGUAGGAUGUAAGAGGUGAUGUUACUCCAGCAAGAGUUGGGCAUUUGGAAACACAUGGAGUUAAAAGCAGUUUUCACUUAAUGUGCUUUGUUGUUUCUGCUACAAUAAAAAUAAAUAAUAAAAAUUC